CUUUUACUGCGAGGGUGCCCUCCUCCUGUGGGUAUUUGGAAGAAAUGAAAAAAGUUGCCUGGAAGAGAGCUUGGGGGAGAAGUAGGUAGAGUGUUAUGUGAAGAUGUUCCUGAAGUGAGUCAAGUCUUAAGGUUCCACUGUAGAAACAAGCCAUCUCAAGCCAAAACUAUUCAAUCUAAUUUGGGAACUACUUUGAAGAAUACGUCUACACAAAACAUUCCAACAGUAAGAAACUACCAAGAGAUCUACUCAGGAGUGGAACACUUCUACCUAAGGG